rnacentral:rRNA from 1 species
CAUGCAAGUCGAACGUGGUUUUUGUGGAAAUUCUUUCGAGAAUGGAAAUGAAAUGAAAGUGGCGAACGGGUGAGUAACACGUGAGCAACCUACCUUACACAGGGGGAUAGCCGUUGGAAACGACGAUUAAUACCGCAUGAGACCACAGAAUCGCAUGAUAUAGGGGUCAAAGAUUUAUCGGUGUAAGAAAGGCUCGCGUCUGAUUAGCUAGUUGGAAGGGUAAAGGCCUACCAAGGCGACGAUCAGUAGCCGGUCUGAGAGGAUGAGCGGCCACAUUGGAACUGAGACACGGUCCAAACUCCUACGGGAGGCAGCAGUAGGGAAUAUUGCACAAUGGGGGGAACCCUGAUGCAGCGACGCCGCGUGAACGAAGAAGGUUUUCGAAUCGUAAAGCUCUGUCCU